GACCCUGACUGCUAUCGGAUGAUAUUAAGCCAUGCGAGUCAUUGUAGCAAUACAAGGCAUACGGCUCAGUAACGCGUAGUCAACCUAACCUAUGGACGGGAAUAACCUCGGGAAACUGAGAAUAAUGCCCGAUAGAACAUUAUGCCUGGAAUGGUUUAUGUUCCAAAUGAUUUAUCGCCGUAGGAUGGGACUGCGGCCUAUCAGUUUGUUGGUGAGGUAAUGGCCCACCAAGACUAUUACAGGUACGGGCUCUGAGAGGAGUAGCCCGGAGAUGGGUACUGAGACACGGACCCAGGCCCUAUGGGGCGCAGCAGGCGAGAAAACUUUGCAAUGUGCGAAAGCACGACAAGGUUAAUCCGAGUGGUUUCUGCUAAAGAAACCUUUUGUCAGUCCUAGAAACACUGAUGAAUAAGGGGUGGGCUAGUUCUGGUGUCU
rnacentral:rRNA from 1 species